rnacentral:rRNA from 1 species
GACGAACGCUGGCGGCGUGCUUAACACAUGCAAGUCGAACGCUGAAGCUUGGUGCUUGCACUGGGUGGAUGAGUGGCGAACGGGUGAGUAAUACGUGAGUAACCUGCCCUUGACUCUGGGAUAAGCCUGGGAAACUGGGUCUAAUACUGGAUACGACAUGUCACCGCAUGGUGGUGUGUGGAAAGGGUUUUACUGGUUUUGGAUGGGCUCACGGCCUAACAGCUUGUUGGUGGGGUAAUGGCUCACCAAGGCGACGACGGGUAGCCGGCCUGAGAGGGUGACCGGCCACACUGGGACUGAGACACGGCCCAGACUCCUACGGGAGGCAGCAGUGGGGAAUAUUGCACAAUGGGCGGAAGCCUGAUGCAGCGACGCCGCGUGAGGGAUGACGGCCUUCGGGUUGUAAACCUCUUUCAGCAAGGAAGAAGCGAAAGUGACGGUACGUGCAGAAGAAGCGCCGGCUAACUACGUG